rnacentral:rRNA from 1 species
ACUCCUGCGGGAGGCAGCAGUGGGGAAUUUUGGACAAUGGGCGAAAGCCUGAUCCAGCAAUGCCGCGUGUGUGAAGAAGGCCUUCGGGUUGUAAAGCACUUUUGUCCGGAAAGAAAUCCUUGGCUCUAAUACAGUCGGGGGAUGACGGUACCGGAAGAAUAAGCACCGGCUAACUACGUGCCAGCAGCCGCGGUAAUACGUAGGGUGCGAGCGUUAAUCGGAAUUACUGGGCGUAAAGCGUGCGCAGGCGGUUUGCUAAGACCGAUGUGAAAUCCCCGGGCUCAACCUGGGAACUGCAUUGGUGACUGGCAGGCUAGAGUAUGGCAGAGGGGGGUAGAAUUCCACGUUUAGCAGUGAAAUGCGUAGAGAUGUGGAGGAAUACCGAUGGCGAAGGCAGCCCCCUGGGCCAAUACUGACGCUCAUGCACGAAAGCGUGGGGAGCAAACAGGAUUAGAAACCCUAGUAGUCCCAUGAU